rnacentral:rRNA from 13 species
CCGCUGAACUUAAGCAUAUCAAUAAGCGGAGGAAAAGAAACCAACAGGGAUUGCCCCAGUAACGGCGAGUGAAGCGGCAACAGCUCAAAUUUGAAAUCUGGCUUCGGCCCGAGUUGUAAUUUGUAGAGGAUGCUUUUGGUGCGGUGCCUUCUGAGUUCCCUGGAACGGGACGCCAGAGAGGGUGAGAGCCCCGUAUAGUUGGACACCAAGCCUUUGUAAAGCUCCUUCGACGAGUCGAGUAGUUUGGGAAUGCUGCUCUAAAUGGGAGGUAUAUCUCUUCUAAAGCUAAAUAUAGGCCAGAGACCGAUAGCGCACAAGUAGAGUGAUCGAAAGAUGAAAAGCACUUUGAAAAGAGGGUUAAAUAGUACGUGAAAUUGUUGAAAGGGAAGGGCUUGUGACCAGACUUGUGCCGGGCUGAUCAUCCACGGUUCUCCGUGGUGCACUCUGCCCGGCUCAGGCCAGCGUCGGUUCUGGCAGGGGGACAAAAGCUUAGGGAACGUGGCUCCUCCGGGAGUGUUAUAGCCCUUUGCUCAAUACCCUUGCCGGGACCGAGGUUCGCGCUCUGCAAGGACGCUGGCAUAAUGGUCAUCAGCCACCCGUCUUGUAACACGGACCAAGUAGUCUAACAAAUAUG